AGUUCGAUUAUGGCUCAGAUUGAACGUGGCGGGAUGCUUUACCGCAUACAAGUCGAACGGCAGCACGGACUUCGGUCUGGUGGCGAGUGGCGAACGGGUGAGUAACCGUAUCAGGACGUACAAUGGCGGGGGAUAACUACGCGAAAAGCGUAGCUUACAAUACGCUACGCCUUCCAGGAAAAGCAGGGGACCUUUGGGCUCCGCACUGUUGGCGGCUGAUAUCGGUUAAUGCGUUACGGUGGGGUAACGGCUCACCAAGGCGACGAUCGUAGCUGUGAUUUCCUGAAGGGCUGACCAGCUACACUUUCGGAUGCCGGGAGCCGGCUGGGCUCUCUGAAGGCGCGCUGGUGAAGAUUUGGACGGAAACCUGAUCCAGCCAUCCCGCGUGUGCGAUGAAGGCCUUCGGGUUGUAAAGCACUUUUGGCAGGAAAAAACGGCACGGGAUAAUACCCCGUGCAACUGACGAAUACCUGCAGAAUAAGCACCGGCUAACUACGUGCCAGCAGCCGCGGUAAUACGUAGGGUGCAAGCGUUAAUCGGAAUUACUGGGCGUAAAGCGUGCGCAGGCGGUUCGAGAAGAAAGUGCUGAAAAAGAAAACCUGAGGCUUAACUUUGGAACUGCAUUUUUAACUACCGAGCUAGAGAGUGUGUCAGAGGGAGGUGGAAUUCCGCGUGUAGCAGUGAAAUGCGUAGAUAUGCGGAGGAGACACCGAUGGCGAAGGCAGCCUCCUGGAAACACUGACGCUCAUGCACGAAAGCGUGGGAGCAAACAGGAUUAGAUACCCUGGUGGUCCGCCCUAAACGUCAACUAGCUGUUGGGGCCUUCGGGCCUUGGUAGCGCAACUGGCGCAGUUGACCGCCUGGGGAGUACGGUCGCAAGAUUAAAACUCAAAGGAAUUGACGGGGACCCGCACAAGCGGUGGAUGAUGUGGAUUAAUUCGAUGCAACGCGAAAAACCUCCUACCCUUGACAUGUCUGGAAUCCCGAAGAAAAGUGUUAGAACAAGAAGGCCAGGGCGCCACCUGGUGCUAAUACGGCUUGUCGUCAGCUCGUGUCGUGAGAUGUUGGGUUAAGUCCCGCAACUUGAGCGCAACCCUUGUCAUUAGUUGCACCGAAGAAGGGCAUCAAUGAGACUGUCGGUGGUAAACCGGAGGAAGGUGGGGAUGACGUCAAGUCCUCAUGAAAGCUAUGGGUGAGACUACCCCGUAUCAUACAAUGGUCGGGACAGAGGUCGCCAACCCGCGAGGGAGCCAAUCCCAGAAACCCGAUCGUAGUCCGGAUCGCAGUCUGCAGCUCGGCCGUGAAGUCGAAAUCGCUAGUAAUCGCGGGUCGCCAUGUCGCCGAUUGAAUACGUUCCCGGGUCUUGUACACACCGCCCGUCACACCAUGGGAGUGGGUUUUACCAGAAAGUAGUUAGCCUAACCGUAAGGAGAACCGGAAUUACCACGGUAAAGUUUACUUCAUGCGGGGUGAAGGCGCCCAACAAGGUAG
rnacentral:rRNA from 1 species